CAGUCGCCGCGGGAAUACGUAGGUGGCAAGCGUUGUCCGGAAUUAUUGGGCGUAAAGGGCUCGCAGGCGGCUUCUUAAGUCUGAUGUGAAAGCCCCCGGCUCAACCGGGGAGGGUCAUUGGAAACUGGGAAACUUGAGUGCAGAAGAGGAGAGUGGAAUUCCACGUGUAGCGGUGAAAUGCGUAGAGAUGUGGAGGAACACCAGUGGCGAAGGCGACUCUCUGGUCUGUAACUGACGCUGAGGAGCGAAAGCGUGGGGAGCGAACAGGAUUAGAUACCCGAGUAGUCCCUGUCUCUUAUAC
rnacentral:rRNA from 1 species